AGCUUGGUGCAGUGGCAGUAUUGUAGCCAAUGAGGUUUAUCCGAGGCGCGAUUAUUGCCAAAAUCUCUUAAACUAUGUAUUUCUGUUUUGACUUCUUUACAUCUUCAGGUAUUCUUUGAAUAUACUAGUAG
ensembl:snRNA U4 U4 spliceosomal RNA